rnacentral:rRNA from 1 species
AAGACCUUGCACUUUUGGAGCGGCCGAUGUCUGAUUAGCUAGUUGGUGGGGUAAUGGCCUACCAAAGCUUCGAUCAGUAGCUGGUCUGAGAGGACGGCCAGCCACACUGGGACUGAGACACGGCCCAGACUCCUACGGGAGGCAGCAGUGGGGAAUUUUGGACAAUGGGCGCAAGCCUGAUCCAGCCAAGCCGCGUGAGUGAAGAAGGCCUUCGGGUUGUAAAGCUCUUUCAGCCGGGAAGAAAAGGUUGCGACUAAUAAUCGCAAUCCAUGACGGUACCGGAAGAAGAAGCACCGGCUAACUACGUGCCAGCAGCCGCGGUAAUACGUAGGGUGCGAGCGUUAAUCGGAAUUACUGGGCGUAAAGGGUGCGCAGGCGGUUUUGUAAGUCAGAUGUGAAAUCCCCGGGCUUAACCUGGGAACU